UUUCCCUUGAUGCAUUGCGCGAGGGCUACGGCAAACAAGAGAAGAGAUUUGCCUUUUUUUUACACCAUAAAACGUUAACUUCGAAAGUCAAACAUAUGCUUAUAAAAGUUCAGAAACACUGAUAGUACUAAUAUUCAAACUAUUUUAAAGAGUGAAAGUUUAGCGGGAAAGUGCGGGACCGCGUCUUUUAGACGGAAAAGUUUGCUAAAGUUAGCCGCGAAGCUAAAAACAACUUUUAAGCUAACGUUAACUGGCAGAAGACGCCAACUGGUUUUCCUAUUAGCGCCCUGAGAGGUCGGCGGCGAGCAGCCAUGGCGGUGCUACUGGAGGGGAUGUGUCCCGGUCUGGAUAAAGAUUUGCUGCGGAGUCUGCGGGCAGCCGACAUCAGAACAGUGGAGGACCUCGUCUCUUCUGACAUCGAGGAUGUCGCGCAGAAAUGCUCCGUCUCCUAUAAGGCUCUGUUAUCCAUCCGCCGAGUGCUGCUGGCCCAACACACGGCGUUCCCAGUGUCGGGCGCCGAUCUAUACGAGGAACUAUUGAGCUCCACAGCCAUUCUCUCCACUGGAAAUCCCAGCCUAGACAAACUGCUGGAUUCAGGCUUGUACACCGGAGAGAUAACGGAGCUGUCAGGAGGCCCAGGAAGCGGCAAAUCCCAGGUGUGCUUCGGCGUGGCGGUGCACAUUGCACACCGUCUGAAGCAGAGCGUGAUCUACAUCGACACAACAGGAGGGCUGACUGCCAGCCGCCUGCUGCAGAUGCUGCAAACCGAAACCGAUAACACAGACGAGCAGAUGGAGGCUCUUCAGAGGAUCCACACCUUCCGCCUGUUUGACGUCUGCGCUCUCCUCGACUGCCUGUACGGGCUCUGCAGCGGCGGCCUUCACAAGGCGCGUGUCGGCGGCGGCUCUGUCAAGGCGGUGAUCGUGGACUCGGUGUCAGCCGUUAUCGCUCCUCUGCUGGGAGGCAGGCACAACGAAGUGCUGCAGCUCAUUCUGUUCCAACCUCUCCAAACUUCCUGCGCCUCCAGGCAUGUCCUUGAUGAUACAAGUGGCAGCAGCUCUGAAGACGAUGGCGAAGGACUUCAGCGUCGCUGUCCUGGUAACAAACCAUGUAACGAGAAGUGGCAGCGGGGAAGUGCAGCCGGGCCUCGGCGUGUCGUGGAGCCACAUCCCCAGAACCAGAAUCCUCCUGGAACGAGUCGAGACGGGCGCGUGCGUCAGCCGUCCGGGUCGGCGCCGCGCGACGCUCGUCAAGUCUUCCAGACAGGCGUGUCGCAUCAAAGAGGAUUUUGACCUGCAGCGAUGGAGUGCUGCUGACGGAGGAGCGCCAUCAGGAAAGAGGAAACUGGAUCAGGCCGAUCCCUGACGAGAGCCCCUCUGCAGAAACGUCGGAUGGAAAGCAGGGAGGGACGACGCGCCUCUUCCGAAUGCAUUCCCAGAUCCAGCCCGCAGACACUUUCCGGGCCUGGCCGCCGGCCUCCGGCUCGCCCAGCGUGUGCGUGGCCGAGGCGGCGUCGUAAUCCGGCACCAGGUCCCCGUCGUACGCCACGAAGUACCGUCUGAGUUUGGCGAAGUCCUGGACGGAGACGGGGAGGAAGAGCUUCACGCCGCUGAAGAUGUCCAGCAGCGUCUGAGAGGAGCAGAGGAGUUGGAUUAAAAAUCGGAGCGGCUCACAGGUACGAGGCGUUAAUCUGCCUGAAGGACCGGUUUUUAACGUCUGUUACCAAUCAAGAAAGGAUCUGAACUGAAACGGCCUUAAUCGGAGUUUAAUGGAUGAACUUUCUAGGAGCUAAAGCGCUCGUUAAAGCGCCGUCAGCAGGUUUUACUCUACAUCCAUGUUUUACCUACUCAACUACCUAAACACCAAAUCAUAAACAUGUUCAGUCGACUAAUAAAACCAAAGUAAGUCUGAGCGCCGGCCUGUUGGUGGAGAUUUAAAAACUAGGAGUAGAUUUUACUAAAAUAAGUCGGCGGUGAAUAAAUGGUCCUGUGCGAACCGACCGGCUGCAGUUUAAGCUUUAUUUCUCUCUGCCUGCUAACUAAUGAUGUCAUAACCUUUUAACACAUUAAAUACGUCCAGGUGAGUCAAACUCUUGCUCUAUCUGGACUUUUUUGCUUCAAUCUUUCAAAGAGGUUUAAAGAGAAUAAAAACAGUUAAUUUUACUCUGAUAUUAACAUUUUACCUAAAUCACUGAUUGUACACAUUUAAAUAAAAAACUGUUCUGAUAAACUACGACUUCUCCCGC